rnacentral:rRNA from 1 species
CCAACCGGGAUUGCCUCAGUAACGGCGAGUGAAGCGGCAAGAGCUCAAAUUUGAAAUCUGGCCCCUCCGGGGUCCGAGUUGUAAUUUGCAGAGGAUGCUUCGGGUGCGGCCCCUGUCUAAGUGCCCUGGAACGGGCCGUCAGAGAGGGUGAGAAUCCCGUCUUGGGCAGGGUGCCCGUGCCCGUGUGAAGCUCCUUCGACGAGUCGAGUUGUUUGGGAAUGCAGCUCAAAAUGGGUGGUAAAUUUCAUCUAAAGCUAAAUACCGGCCGGAGACCGAUAGCGCACAAGUAGAGUGAUCGAAAGAUGAAAAGCACUUUGAAAAGAGAGUUAAACAGCACGUGAAAUUGUUGAAAGGGAAGCGCUUGCAACCAGACUCGGCCUCGGGGUUCAGCCAGCAUUCGUGCUGGUGUACUUCCCCGGGGCCGGGCCAGCGUCGGUUUGGGCGGCCGGUCAAAGGCCCCAGGAAUGUAUCGUCCUCCGGGACGUCUUAUAGCCUGGGGUGCAAUGCGGCCAGCCUGGACCGAGGAACGCGCUUCGGCACGGACGCUGGCGUAAUGGUCGCAAACGACCCGUCUUGAAACACGGACCAA